GAUGAACGCUGGCGGCGUGCAUAACACAUUCAAGUCGAACGGCGAAGAGGACUUCGGUCCUCGGAGCAGUGGCGGACGGGUGAGUAACGCGUGAGCAACCUGCCUUUAAGAGGGGGAUAGCGACUGGAAACGGUCGGUAAUACCGCAUAAGACCACGACCUCACAUGAGGAAGUGAUCAAAGGAGCAAUCCGCUUAAAGAUGGGCUCGCGUCUGAUUAGAUAGUUGGUAGGGUAACGGCCUACCAAGUCUGCGAUCAGUAGCCGGACUGAGAGGUUGAACGGCCACAUUGGAACUGAGAUACGGUCCAGACUCCUACGGGAGGCAGCAGUGGGGAAUAUUGGGCAAUGGGCGAAAGCCUGACCCAGCGACGCCGCGUGAAGGAAGAAGGCCCUCGGGUUGUAAACUUCAGUCAACAGGGAAGAAGAAAGUGACGGUACCUGUGGAGGAAGCCACGGCUAACUACGUGCCAGCCGCCGCGGUAA
rnacentral:rRNA from 1 species